GUAGGUGUACCUUCCUGGUAUCCUUCAGUAGAUACCUAAAUCUUCUAGCAUCCCUUAGUAGAUGCUAUCCUAGUAGCAUUCAUUACUAAAUGCUAACAAUGACAUCCAUCAGUAGAUGUCUAUUCACCGUUUUCUUUCAUAACAACAUCCAUCAGUAAAUGUUGUAGAAGCAUCCAUCAAUAGAUGCUAUCAUCACUGCCAUCAGAAGCAACAUAUAACCUAAAAAAAACUUA
rnacentral:lncRNA from 1 species